rnacentral:rRNA from 1 species
GAUGAACGCUGACAGAAUGCUUAACACAUGCAAGUCAACUUGAACUUCGGUUUGGGUGGCGGACGGGUGAGUAACGCGUAAAGAACUUGCCUCACAGAUAGGGACAACAUUUGGAAACGAAUGCUAAUACCUGAUAUUAUGAUUAUAUGGCAUCGUAUAAUUAUGUAAGCUAUAUGCGCUGUGAGAGAGCUUUGCGUCCCAUUAGCUAGUUGGAGAGGUAACGGCUCACCAAGGCGAUGAUGGGUAGCCGGCCUGAGAGGGUGAUCGGCCACAAGGGGACUGAGACACGGCCCUUACUCCUACGGGAGGCAGCAGUGGGGAAUAUUGGACAAUGGACCAAGAGUCUGAUCCAGCAAUUCUGUGUGCACGAUGAAGUUUUUCGGAAUGUAAAGUGCUUUCAGUUGGGAAGAAAAAAAUGACGGUACCAACAGAAGAAGUGACGGCUAAAUACGUG